rnacentral:rRNA from 1 species
GAUGAACGCUGGCGGCGUGCCUAAUACAUGCAAGUCGAGCGAACGGACCAGAAGCUUGCUUCUCUGAUGUUAGCGGCGGACGGGUGAGUAACACGUGGAUAACCUACCUAUAAGACUGGGAUAACUUCGGGAAACCGUAUCUAAUACCGGAUAAUAUUUUGAACCGCAUUGUUCAAAAGUGAAAGGCGGUCUUUCUGUCACUUAUAGAUGGAUCCGCGCUGCAUAAGCUAGUUGGUAAGGUAACGGCUUACCAAGGCAACGAUGCAUAGCCGACCUGAGAGGGUGGUCGGACAGAUGGGAAGUGAGAAACGGUACAGACACCGAAGGGAGGCAGCAGUAGGGAAUCUUACGCAAUGGAGGAGAGCCUGACGGAGCAACGCGGGGGGAGGGAUGAAGGACUUCGGAUCGGAGAACGCUGUUAUUAGGGAAGAACAAAUGUGUAAGUAACUGUGCACAUCUUGACGGUACCUAAUCAGAAAGCCACGGCUAACUACGUG